rnacentral:ncRNA from 2 species
UGAUACCCUGCGGGAGCCAGUCGACCUCCACGGAAGUGCGAAGUGUGGAAGUCAGGGAACCCGGUGAGAGUCCGGGACUGACGCGCAGCGGUAUGGGUGACGGGCGGAGCACCGAGAAAUCGGUACAGCCACUGGAUCUUCGGGUCCGGGAAGGCGCUCCGCACCGGAGGAUCCCGAGUCCGAAGACCUGCUGGCCCUUGCGACAACCG